UAAAAUGUACAUUUAUGAUCAGUUUUAAUAUCAUUAUAAUAUAAUGUAUGUUUAUGGUGUUUGUCACAUGUAUGUUGGACGAAUGGGCUAUGGAGCAUGGGCUGAAUGGAGUUGGGCUUUAUAAAGCAUGAAGAUAGGAAGAUGGGCUAAAAGAAGCAUGUUCGUGUGAAGAUGGGCUUGUCAGUUGAAGCCGGGUUAUUAUCAACCCGGAUAAAGUGUUAGUUGGAGCGAUAUUUAAGAGAAAGUCCAGAUGCUUCUCAAUUAUUCACCAAGAUAUUUUCUCUAUCUAGAGUCUGAAGAGAUAAUAGCUUUUAUGUUCGUUCCAGAAGAUAAGAAGACUUCUAGGGUUUUAUUCUGCUGUUCAUCCUUUCUUGCUCUUGUCUCCUUAUCGUUCUGCUGGCAAAUCAGAUAAGUUUAUGUGUAGUCGAUUAUCACUUACAUUCUUCUCUCUCAUUGUGUUAUUGCUCAGUCUGUUCGACCCAGCUGUUAGGGUUUGUAAUUGUGUAGUUGUUCUUGUGAAUCUCUCAGCUGUAUUGUGAGAGAUUUGUGUCUGUAUUUCUAUAGAUAAUCAUCUAUUGAUGAUUAUCGUUUGAUCUUUGGAUCUUGUAUUCUUCUGGUCUUACUGUUCUUGUAAGAUCUUGGGUAUUUUGGGGGUUUUUUCUGGUUUGGGUUAAUAAAAGUUUCUCCACGUUUUGUCGCUUAUUUUGUGUUAAUGUUGUUUCUUGUAUUAUGUGUUGAGAAUAUAUACCAUUUUUGACAUGGUAUCAGAGCCGUAAGGCUCAUAAUUUGUAGUUUUUUUAUCGGUUCGUUGAUUCUGGGUGGUUUUUCAUAUAUAGGGUUAGGUUUUUUUAUCAUUAAAUUCUUCCGCUGUCAAGAAAGGUUUACAUUUAAUCUGCUAAACAUUAGUUGUGUACAGUGGUUCAGGUUUAUGAAAAUUAAUCGUCGUAUUUGUAUGCAAGAAGUCUGAUUGUUUUCUGUAGUGUCUCUAGAUCUGUCCCUUGCCAUUUGAUUCUGGUGUUUGAUUGUGGGAGUUCUUUAUAAAGCUCCGUUUUAUGGUUCUUCCGCUGUGGGUUAUUGAUUUGGAUUUAGAAUUUUUUUAUAAAGCUCUGUUUUCUGGUAUUAUUAAAUGUUCUUGGUAAUUUAAUCAAGAUCGUGUUUGUAUUUGUUAAAAUCUGGUGAAGUUUUGUUCGGUCAUGUUGUUCUUUGUGUUUUUUGUGUUGUAUGUUUCAUUUUUUUUUGGGUUUCUCUUUGUCUGGUACGUUUUGACCUGUUUCUUGGAGUGUGUGCAGGCUCGCAUCUGGUGAAAUCUGUUUUGUUGUUUUUUGGUAUGGCACAAAUCCUAGUUAGGGUUUGUUGGAGGUCAAGGAGGUGUUCUAUCAUCUGUUAUUCUCAAGACCUGUGUUGGUCUCUGAACCCUAGAAGGUUCAGGGCAAACUGACCAGGUGGUUUUGGUUUGUGGCUUAGUCAGUUCUUGUAGUUCUCGAAAACUACAGUUCUGAUCUUUUUUUGGAGCAUAUUGCACCCUCUGUAAGAUCUUUCCAUUUUUUUUCUCGUUGUUGGUUAGUUGAAGUCGGGGUAGUGAGGACCGGCACCCUUGAUUGUUUGUUAUUGUUGAUUCUUGUCUAUUCUGUGGUUAUCUGUUCUUUUGUUGCUUGUUGUUAUCUGUUUUUUUUUCUUGUUGAUUACUUGUAUAUUUUCUGUUGUGUUUUGGUUCCUUGUCUUAGAGUGUGGCUCCUGUAUUAAGACCUGUCCAGGCACUAUAAGUGAUGAACCUGGAAUCUGGACACUGAUACAGCUUCGCCUUAGGGUUUUUGGUUGCAUAUAAGUUGACUGUUGUUUCUGUGAGUAGUUGUCCGUCUGUUAACUUGUGUUCUCCUUCUUGUAUAUAGUGUUCAUUUACUUGUUUUUUGUCUUGGUUUAAAAUUGCUAAAUUGUCUAAGCAUAGAUUCAUAAAAGCAUUUGUUGAGGUCUUAUGUUCAUUAACUCUAUGUUAGGAUAUAAUUGUUAUUUGUUAUGUGAAGAUUUUUUGAUUGACUGCUCAAUGUCUCUUGUUGAGAACAAUCGAAAUGUAUGUCUUUCAUAUGAGUUGUAUUUUUUUUUCUUCAAAUGUUUUGUGGAUUAUGGUAAAGGAGUUAUUUAGAAUCGGUUCCUGUAUGACUAUUAAAAUUGUUAAAUGGAGGUUUGAUUUCUUUUCACUGUCCAUAUAAAUAAAUAAAAAAUUUAAAAGGUUUGUGUGCUAUGUCUUAAUCUGUUUAUGUUUUCUUGUGGGUAUCAUGUUAUCUGUUUUUUAUGUGUUUUAUGUGAUAUUUGGUUUGGAUCAGGUGAUUUGAUUUUUUUUUGGCUGUCAAAGUGUCUUCUGUGCAUAGCCGUAUGUCUUAUUGUUUUGUGUGGUAUGGUUAGUCGAACUAUGUGGUUCGUGUGUUUCUAACCAGCUGUGUUGUCAAGUGUGUUCUUGAAUAUGUUGUGCAGCCUUGUUUGCAGUUUAUUUUGUGGUUUGUCUUGAAUACUGCUAAAAUGCUAUUUGUUCUUGAUAUUUGUGUCUGCCUAGCUAUGAUAUCUGUAUGAUGGGGAUCAUUGUCCUAAAUGUUGUUAAAUGUCUUGUAUUUGUAGUCUUGAUGUUUACUUGUCUAUGAUCUUGUUUGUAUGAUUAGCUUGAGCUGUAUGGUUCAUGUUUAUUUAAUGGUAUUGUCAAGAUUAUUUUGUAUAUGUGAUAGCCUUAUAUGUAAUCUCUUGUGAGAUAUUUUUGGCUAUGUCUUAUUGUCUUGUUAUUCUUUGUCUUGUGCGUGAGAUAUUAAAUCAUGUGAUUUUGUACUUCUUGUUUAUCAGUCUUGGUAUGAUUCUUAUGAUUCAGUAUUUCGUGAAAAGUUUUUUUUAAUCUAGUCAUAAAUCUGUUUUCUUGGUUGUUGAGUUAUGUGGUUUACAACUUUAAUCGUUUAACUAGUUGUAUUUCUCAAGAUUAUUUCUUGAAUGUUUAUGAUGAUGGCCUUGUGUUUUUUCUCUUGUGUAAGAGAUAUUUUUCUGGUCUUAAAAUCAUGUGAUUUUCUAUUUUACCAGAGUUUGUAUAGGCUGUAAUUGUUGUCUGGUGUAGAAGUGUGUACUUCUCGUUAUGAUCAGACUUGUUCUUGAAUCUUGUGAUUCCUUUUUAGAAGUCGUGUGACUUUUGUGUUAUCAGAUAUGAUGUUUCUGAUAGUUUUGAUUGAAUCGUGUGGUUCAUUUUUUGUUGAGAGGUUGUAAAAGUUUUUGAUUGAAUCAAAUUAGUCUUUAAGUUCCUCACAAGUCUUGUCAUUUAGAAAUGGUUUUAAAGUCUUAAAAGUCGUGUGACUUUAUGUUUCAUCAUAUAUGUAUGAGUGUAUCUGAUUUUAAAAUCGUAUGUUUCCGUGAUGUGUAAAUCUUUGUAUGGUCAGAUAUGUUUCUGAUACUAUUAAUGAAUCUAGUGAGUCUUUGUUUUAUUCUAUAUGGAUCUGGUAUUGUGACAGAACCUUGUGAAUCUUUAGUCAUUGUUUUACUAGAUUUUUUAUUCUCUUGCAAACAAGUUCAUGUCUUUGUUAUCUUUGGAUAUUCGUUUCAGUGUUAGAUAAAUUUGUUUUGUGUAUGGAAUUAGAUCUUGUCGUAUUGAUGAGUUUUAUGUCUUUGAUCUGGGAAAGUGUUUUUUAGAUCUGUCUAAAAUUUGUAUUUGGUUCAGCCUAUGGGUAAAUCAUAUAUCUUGGUCUCAGAUUUCGGGUUCUGAAAUUUGGGUUAUUUCUGAUUGUUGUUUGGAAUCUUGUGGUGUCUUGUUUGAUCAAAUUUGUGAAUUUGAUCUUGUUGUAGAAUCAUAUGAUUCUUUGUUAGUUGGAAUAUGUUUUCAGAAAUGUUGAUUUUUUGGUUGUUGCUAGAAGUUGUUUUGUCUGUUAGUUAUUUUUCGCUAAUGAUUUUUUUUUUGAUGUGGAUCUAAAGUUCACUAUUCAUUUGAAAGUUGUUGGUUUACCGAGUUGUAUGACAAAUUUACUUUGUAUACUGUGUUGGUAUGUGUCUUGUGUUUUUGAUUCUCAGUGGUGGAUUUAAUGUUCAUAUGUUGGUUAAAAAUCUGUGAUGAAAAAGGCUGUUGUAAUCGUAUAUCAAUAUGUUAUAUAAUUUGUUUUGAUGUCUUCUUCUAAAAAAAAAGGAAAGUAAGUCAUUACAUCUUUAGGAUGGUUAAGCUGCAACAAUAAAAAGGAGUGCUUGGUUGUUAUAUAGAUUUUGGUUUGUUCAGUAACAGAAACGUAUUGCCACUUGUGGGCCUUGCUACAAUAGUGCGCUGGGGUUAUCAAGCAUGUUUGACAACUGAAUUGAGGGGGGAUGUUAAAAGUAGCUAAGCUAUGUUUUCUUUUCUUUUCUUUUCAAUUCAGUUGUUUACUAUUUUUGUAAAGUUAAUUGCUUAUUGUAUUUGUUAUUCUUAUUGAAGAAUAAUAAAUAAGAUGAAGGGCUGAUUAUGAAAGCUGAUUAUGAAAGUCUAUGCAAGCUAAAGGGCUGUUUGGUUAAAAAGCUUAGGGGUUGGAGUUGUACAGUAUGAUGUCUAGAAGCAAAGGGGCUUAAGGUGUAUGUCCAGGAAAUUGUAACGAGUAUAAAAGACUUAUUGGUGUUCAGAUUACAAGUCUUUGAUUAGCUGUUGUGCACACUUCAACCUAAGUCACAUACUGAGUUGUCAUGGGCUGAAUGGAGUUGGGCUUUAUAAAGCAUGAAGAUAGGAAGAUGGGCUAAAAGAAGCAUGUUCGUGUGAAGAUGGGCUUGUCAGUUGAAGCCGGGUUAUUAUCAACCCGGAUAAAGUGUUAGUUGGAGCGAUAUUUAAGAGAAAGUCCAGAUGCUUCUCAAUUAUUCACCAAGAUAUUUUCUCUAUCUAGAGUCUGAAGAGAUAAUAGCUUUUAUGUUCGUUCCAGAAGAUAAGAAGACUUCUAGGGUUUUAUUCUGCUGUUCAUCCUUUCUUGCUCUUGUCUCCUUAUCGUUCUGCUGGCAAAUCAGAUAAGUUUAUGUGUAGUCGAUUAUCACUUACAUUCUUCUCUCUCAUUGUGUUAUUGCUCAGUCUGUUCGACCCAGCUGUUAGGGUUUGUAAUUGUGUAGUUGUUCUUGUGAAUCUCUCAGCUGUAUUGUGAGAGAUUUGUGUCUGUAUUUCUAUAGAUAAUCAUCUAUUGAUGAUUAUCGUUUGAUCUUUGGAUCUUGUAUUCUUCUGGUCUUACUGUUCUUGUAAGAUCUUGGGUAUUUUGGGGGUUUUUUCUGGUUUGGGUUAAUAAAAGUUUCUCCACGUUUUGUCGCU